GAUGAACGCUGGCGGCGUGCCUAAUACAUGCAAGUCGAGCGAACAGACGAGGAGCUUGCUCCUCUGACGUUAGCGGCGGACGGGUGAGUAACACGUGGAUAACCUACCUAUAAGACUGGGAUAACUUCGGGAAACCGGAGCUAAUACCGGAUAAUAUAUUGUACCGCAUGGUUCAAUAGUGAAAGACGGUUUUGCUGUCACUUAUAGAUGGAUCCGCGCCGCAUUAGCUAGUUGGUAAGGUAACGGCUUACCAAGGCAACGAUGCGUAGCCGACCUGAGAGGGUGAUCGGCCACACUGGAACUGAGACACGGUCCAGACUCCUACGGGAGGCAGCAGUAGGGAAUCUUCCGCAAUGGGCGAAAGCCUGACGGAGCAACGCCGCGUGAGUGAUGAAGGUCUUCGGAUCGUAAAACUCUGUUAUUAGGGAAGAACAAAUGUGUAAGUAACUAUGCACGUCUUGACGGUACCUAAUCAGAAAGCCACGGCUAACUACGUG
rnacentral:rRNA from 1 species